rnacentral:rRNA from 1 species
CCUACGGGCGGCUGCAGUGGGGAAUAUUGCACAAUGGGGGAAACCCUGAUGCAGCAACGUCGCGUGAGUGAAGAAGUAUCUCGGUAUGUUAAGCUCUAUCAGUCGGGAAGAAGAUGACGGUACGUGAGUAAGAAGCCACGUCUAACUACGUGCCAGCAGCCGCGGUAAUACGUAGGGGGCCAGCGUUAUCCGGAUUUACUGGGUGUAAAGGGAGUGUAGAGGGCUGCGCAAGUCUGAAGUGAAAGCCCGGGGCUCAACCCCGGGACUGCUUUGGAAACUGUGUAGCUGGAGUGCUGGAGAGGCAAGCGGAAUUCGUAGUGUAGCGGUGAAAUGCGUAGAUAUUAGGAAGAACACCGAUGGCGAAGGCAGCUUGCUGGACAGUAACUGACGUUGAUGCUCGAAAGCGUGGGGAGCGAACAGGAUUAGAUACCCUUGUAGUC